rnacentral:rRNA from 1 species
GGGCUCACACAAGCGGUGGAGGAUGUGGCUUAAUUCGAGGAUACGCGAAGAACCUUAUCCUGGUCUUGACAUGUUUAGGAACCUCGGUGAAAGUCGAGGGUGCCCUUCGGGGAGCCUUUACACAGGUGCUGCAUGGCCGUCGUCAGCUCGUGUCGUGAGAUGUCGGGUUAAGUCCCUUAACGAGCGAAACCCCUAUCCUUAGUUGCCAGCAAUUCGGUUGGGGACUCUAGGGAGACUGCCGGUGUUAAACCGGAGGAAGGUGGGGACGACGUCAGGUCAUCAUGGCCUUUAUGACCAGGGCUGCACACGUCCUACAAUGGUGCGUACAAAGGGAAGCUAAGCAGUGAUGUGGAGCAAAUCCCAGAAAACGCGCCUCAGUUCGGAUUGCAGGCUGCAACUCGCCUGCAUG